rnacentral:tRNA from 1 species
GUGGCUGGCUCAACGGUUAUGAGCACUGACUGCUCUUCCAGAGAUCCUGAGUUCAAUUCCCAGCAACCUCA